CGGGGUGCAGCAGGCGCGAAAACUUUACAAUGCGGGAAACCGUGAUAAGGGGACACCGAGUGCCAGCAUCAUAUGCUGGCUGUCCAGGUGUGUAAAAUACACCUGUCAGCAAGGGCCGGGCAAGACCGGUGCCAGCCGCCGCGGUAACACCGGCGGCCCGAGUGGUGAUCGUGAUUAUUGGGUCUAAAGGGUCCGUAGCCGGUUUGGUCAGUCCUCCGGGAAAUCUGACGGCUCAACCGUUAGGCUUUCGGGGGAUACUGCCAGGCUUGGAACCGGGAGAGGUAAGAGGUACUACAGGGGUAGGAGUGAAAUCUUGUAAUCCCUGUGAGACCACCUGUGGCGAAGGCGUCUUACCAGAACGGGUUCGACGGUGAGGGACGAAAGCUGGGGGCACGAACCGGAUUAGAUACCCGGGUAGUCCCAGCCGUAAACGAUGCUCGCUAGGUGUCAGGCAUGGCGCGACCGUGUCUGGUGCCGCAGGGAAGCCGUGAAGCGAGCCACCUGGGAAGUACGGCCGCAAGGCUGAAACUUAAAGGAAUUGGCGGGG
rnacentral:rRNA from 1 species